ACAGUUGGUGGCGGUAAUGCGCGGAAUUGGAACGCCAACCGCCAGUAAAUUGACAGAAGAAGACAUAGAAGUGACGAGGAAGAAUAUCAACUUGCAGUGGAGGUAUGGAGAGUACGGACCAUACUGAGGGAGCUUUGUCGGCUUUGCCAUGGGUGCCUGUGAAUAUUGAUGGUUCCAAGUUGUUGACCAAAGCCUGGUUUGGUGACACAGAAUAUCGGUUGCUGCUGAGUGACCUGAACAGUGUUUGGGAGGAAGAGAUGAGCACAGACAGCAUUGAGAGACGUGCACAGGUUUUAAAUAAGCGUCUAAGGGCUCCAGUGCGUGCAUUUUGUACUCGUCUACGCUCCGUGGUUUGGCCAUGUCUCUCCAGACAGUCAGAUGAAGAGAGCCCAGCUGUACGUUUCCUUCUCAAGCAUGAGGGGGACCACCUAACUGUCAGUCUCAAGAGUGAGCUGGGAGAUGUACCAUUAUUUUGGGAAUUCCGCUGCACCCCUGCCUCUGUAGCGGUGGUGUGCAGAGAGCUAGUGUGUCCCUUUUUGUCCAUGACUCAAGUGCUGCAUAGACAUGUUGGAGAACUAACUGCUUUGCUGCUCAAGAAAGAUGCUGAGAUACAAGAGUACAGAGAGAAUGGAGCUAUGCUUAGCAGAGGUCGGCUUCAGACUGAGCCAUUUGAGGAGGAGACAUACAGAAGGAACUUUAACCAGGGUCUUGCUGCAGUGGUGCUGAAACCUGGGACGAGUGCAGAAGGGAACAGCCUCAUGGAGUCCUUGCCGUUCAAGGACCUGAUCCAUGCCCUCGCCACAGCCCAGCAGAACCAGCACCAAAGCGCUGGUUGCCCUCCAAAAGGAGCAAGAACAACGGUUAGAAGCCUUGGUGCUGGCCCAACAGGAGGACCGCCAGGUGUUCCAGCACCUGUUUGCGUCGGUGGGGCCCACGAACGCCACCGGAGCGGACCCUCCCCACCUCACCCUAACCAAGAUGGGUCUGCACGACGAUCCGGAAGCCUUCCUCGCGCUCUUCAAGCAAGCAGUGUUGAUGUGGGGUUGGCCGGUCGACCAGCACGCAGCGUGCCUCCUCCCCCUGCUGACAGGUGAGGCGCAGCCGGCCGCACUGCAGCUCCCUGUUGACAGCCGGCUCGUAUACACGGACCUCCAACGAGCCAUCCUCCAGUGUGUCGGCCGUUCCCCAGAGCAACAACGGCAGUGCUUCCGCUCACUGCGCUUGGAGGAGGUCAGCUGACCGUUCGCGUUGGGGCAACAACUCUGGGACGCCUGCCGGCGGUGGCUGAGGGCCCCCGCUGACUGAUCUCACUAAAAAGGGAGCGACAGAUCUGGUCCAGUGGAUGGAGCAAUGCCAACAGGCUUUUUCUAGGGUAAAGGUUGCACUCUGUAGGGGGCCACUGUUACACUCCCCUGACUUUUCUUUCCCCUUUAUUUUACAGACAGAUGCAUCGGACAGAGGGCGGGGGCCGUUCUGUCCCAGAAGGUGGAGGGGGAGGAGCAUCCUGUGCUGCACCUUAGCCGGAAGCUGUCAAUGCGGGAAGGCAGGUACAGCACGAUAGAGUGCCUAGCCAUCAAGUGGGCAGUCCUCGCCCUCUGGUACUACCUACUGGGACGCCCUUUGACCCUCUGUUCGGACCACGCGACCCUUCAGUGGCUCCACCGCAUGAAGGAUGCCAACGCGCGGCUCACCCAUUGGUAUCUUGCCCUCCAGCCAUUUAAAUUCGAGGUGGUCUACAGGCUGGGGGCGCAGAUGGUGGUGGCGGACUUCCUGUCCCGUCAGGGGGAGGGGAGUCAGCUUCAGGCCGGAUGGCUCCCCAGCCUGAGUCGGGCGGUGGGGGUAUGUGGCAGCGGGGGCGUGGCCGAACAUCAGUCUGUGAAUGGAGGGCGGAGUCAGGGAAGAGACUUCCUAAGAUGCUGUUGGACAGUCUGGAGUUUGAGACUGAACUGCAGGAGCUGUACACGUCCAUAUGUGCU